CAGUCGCCACGGUAAUACGUAGGGUGCAAGCGUUAAUCGGAAUUACUGGGCGUAAAGCGUGCGCAGGCGGUUUUGUAAGACAGAGGUGAAAUCCCCGGGCUCAACCUGGGAACUGCCUUUGUGACUGCAAGGCUAGAGUACGGCAGAGGGGGAUGGAAUUCCGCGUGUAGCAGUGAAAUGCGUAGAUAUGCGGAGGAACACCGAUGGCGAAGGCAAUCCCCUGGGCCUGUACUGACGCUCAUGCACGAAAGCGUGGGGAGCAAACAGGAUUAGAUACCCGUGUAGUCCCUGUCUCUUAUAC
rnacentral:rRNA from 1 species